UGAGGUUCUACGCCUCCAGGCCUGGCGACUCCGCCACCUCACCCAUUCCAACACCUCCUGGAAAGGGGGGUUUCUGUGCCCCCACCCACCCCGGUGCAGCUCGAGGCCAUCUUCCCCAGGACCCCCACCUCGCAGCAGCCUCUGUCAAGCAGCGUACAGAAAGAAUAACAAGCAACAGUGUCAACACAGAAGGAAUUUUCUCCAAAGUCACACCGUGGCCAAUCUACAGCAACAAUAAUAGAUAUUAUGAAUCCCACA
rnacentral:lncRNA from 1 species